CCAUGAAAAACAAAUAGGCGUGGAGAAGUUUUAACUGGAGUUACUCAAUCUACCCAUACCACAGGAUCAACACCUCACGUAAAAGUUGCAGCUCAACUUGAAGGACAAUUGGGUCAUUGUCCAUCGUAUUAUGAACUGUUCAGGCAUACACAUACCAAACAACACGAUGGGCAAACAUUCAUAGCUGAAAAAGCCAAACAAAUUCAUGAACAAGUUGAAUCGCAACGGGAGAUGUUGGCAGAAA